UUUCCAGGCAGCUUCCUCUCCGAAUCCCUCGCCAUCGCCCGCUUCUCUUUACCCACGCACGCAACCUCCUCCCCUGCCUCAAUGGCCGCCGCUCUCGUCUCCUCUUUUCCUCUCUCCCUCUCGUUUCCUCUCACAUGUGACCAGCCGCCACGGGCGUCGCCAGCGGGAGAGGAGACGGCUCCGUUCUCCCACGCAGCCACACAAACGGCGUCGCCUCGAGGGAGGAUUGGGUGGGAGGAGAAGGCGGCGGCGGCGUUUUCGAUCUGUGAUUUGCCUCGCACGUGAGGCGGUGGAUCGAUCCGGUUGCCCGCCGCCGUUGUCGCCUGCUCUCCCCACUCGCGUCACCCGACCUUAGAAAGCUCACGGCCUCACGGGGACAAGGUCCGCGCUGGCGGGCGCGGAGGAGGGGGAGAUCUCGGACGACGGAGACGGCUCCGCCGCUGCGGGGCGCGGCAGCCGGAGCGGGUUCGCCACGGAGAUGGCCGUUCGCGGCGUCGCCCUCGGGGAGAGAAGGGGAGGGGAGGGCCAGACGAAGAGAGGAGGGAGAGGGAGAAGGCGAGCCCAUGGAGAAGUGCCACCGCAAGUAGAUCUUGCCGUCGGCGGCAAGAAGGCCACGCCCCCCCUCCACCUCGUGCGUUCAGCCAGCAGUGGAAGCAAUGCCCUUUUUCCCCUGUUGAGAGAUCAAAUCAAAUUGCAUCGGUACGCCAUGCCGCCACCAAUUUGAUCAUGCAAACCUGAUGAAGAUAAUGUAUUAUGUGCGGCCAUUCAUGCAGAGUAUGUCUGGUUCGCCGGCCACUAUCUUGGAUACAAAUGAUCUAAAUGAUACCAAAAUCUUAGCAUCAAUGUAACGCUGCAAUUUUCUGUGUUAUCUGAAUUUAGCUGCAGGAAUUGUUGCACCUUUGCCUUUCUUCCUUCAUAUUCCACUAGAUGGGUGCUACUCACUGUUGAAGUAUUUGUCAGUUAUACCGAUUGUGUUGUUGUAGUUUUCUCA